GCCGCUAUCGUCUGGUGGUUAGGACGACACGUUAUGGCCGAGUCAACCCCGGUUUAAAUCCGGGUAGCGACU